GCGUAUAGCUCAGUUGGUUAGAGUACAGUGCUGAUAAUGCCAAGGUUGCAGGUUCGAUUCCCCAUAUGGGACA
rnacentral:tRNA from 1 species